rnacentral:tRNA from 1 species
AGGGAUAUAGCGCAGCUUGGUAGCGCGUUUUUUUUUUGUACAAAAUGUCAUGGGUUCAAAUCCUAUCAUCCCUA